GCCUGGACCCCAUAUCCCCCGCCCCGGGACUUCCCCACCCCCUCUGCCCGCCGUGAGACACCUCCCUAGAGCACUCCCCCGCCUGCCCCGGGACCCCACCCCGACUCCCGGGGACCCCCUUUUCCGCCCAGGCCUGGGCCCUGGCCCCCUCCUCCGUGCCCCCAGCCCUGAAUCUUCAGCCCCAAACCCGAUGUGCCUGGCGUCAUCCCCGGGGAGCUCAGCUUCAAAGCCAGGCCUCACUCUCCCCUCCCCACCCACCUCUGCAUGACAAUUGCCUUUGCUUUCGUGCGUGUGUUCAGUCAAAACCGUUUCCCGACCCCAAGUGCUACCUCUGUUGGCUGCCAUUCUAAACCCAUCUAGAAAAGGAAUCUUUUGGUGUUCUUAGGGGGCUGCAGCCGUCUGUGGAUGAUGUUGGAGACCUUUCCCUUGUCCCUAAUCCCGUAUUUUGAAGGUCUGUGACACGGGUGAAUUGGGUGGUUGAUGUAAACACAGAACAAGGCCGCAGGCGGGCUGCUCCUCUGUCAGCAGAAGGAACACUCGAGUUUCUGGAGGUGAUGUCUUUGCCCCCUUGGUUCCUUGCUUGGCGAGAUUGUUAGCUGAUGUAGCCAGGGCUGAGAAACUCCACUCUGGCUUCUGAGGAGUUAACAGUCUGAGUUUGAAGCGUUUAAUUCUGUGCUAGGAUGUCUCCAUAACCUGGAAAUCGCUUGUCUGUGAAGCAGUUACAAGAGCCGGGCCCUGUGGGGAGCACCACUUAGCUUCAUUCAUUCACCGUCAGAUACUGAGCUCGGCCUGCCUGUGUGUGGGCCCAGAACCUCGCCCUUUGUCAGAAACAGGUUCAGGGAGGCUGGUUCCCAUCCCUGCUUUGCCUCUGUGACCUUGGCCUGUCGCCUGCCUGGGGUUCGAUUUUCCAUCAAAGGAGUGAAUUGCACUAGGCGAUCUCCAAGCCCAGAAAUUCUCUCAUUCUAGGAGUUAGGUAAUGCUGUUUGACUUAUGAAUAGAAGUGUCUUAGGAAAUGAGCUUCAAUUCCUUUUCAAUUAAUUCGGCUUAACACAUUCUUGACUUUAAUAGGAAAAUAAAAGAUUGUGUCAG
rnacentral:lncRNA from 1 species